GUAAAAUUACACCGGGGGCAAACCUGCGCGAGUCCCCCUCUGUACCCAGCCGGGGGGGACUUUCUGCGGGGCAGCCUCGGGCUCUGCCGCCACCAGCCCCUGAGCCGGGGCCUGCAGCCUGAUUCUGGAUUGUCCCAUCAUUCUGGGGGAUGGAGAAGGGAAAAGUCUGAAGUGGAGCUGGUGACCUUUGAAGAGGUGGCUGUGUAUUUCACUGAGAGAGUGAGCGAACUUCACCGGACCCCAGCCAGAGAGCCCGCUACAGGAUCAUUAUGCAUGAGAAUUAUGAGAUUUUAACCUCUCUGGAGGUCAUACUGCUGUCAGCAGACGGUGCAGUAAGACUGCUAACCAUCGUCAUCCACUGCUUCCGCAGCAACUCUGCUCUCCUGGUGCCAUGAAUCCACCUCGCAGGCCGUCUCAUCUUUCUGUAUAAAUAUCUAUUCUUGUGGCAUCUGUCGUCAUCCACUGCUUCUGCUGCAACUCUGCUCUCCUGCAGAAGCCAUACCACGGCAAGCAUGGAGCUCGCUCAGCUCACCGCUGCUGUUGUAAGCAUUGUAAACACCUCAAACACCUCACGCAUUAUCCUGCAGUAUGUGCAGAACCUGCAAAAGCAGGCAAGGAGGCGAUGACAGCGCGAUCAUGAUAGCGAUGAGGACAUGUACACAGACUUCUCUCAAAGCAUGGGCCAUGACAAUUUGGACAUCAUGGUGGUAAUGGGGCAGGUUCAUGCCAUGGAACACUGAUUCUGGGCCCAGGAAACAAGCACAGACUGGUGGGACUGCAUAGUGUUGCAGGUCUGGGAUGAUUCCCAGUGACUGAGAAACUUUUGCAUGCGUAAGGGAACUUUCAUGGAACUUCAUAGAAUAUCAGGGUUCAAAGGGACCUCAGGAAGUCAUCGAGUGCAACCUCCUGCUCAAAGCAGGAUCAAUCCUCAACUAAAUCAUGCCAGCCAGGGCUUUGUCAAGCCUGACCUUAAAAACCUGUAAGGAAGGAGAUUCUACCACCUCCCUCGGUAACCCAUUCCAGUGCUUCACCACCCUCCUAGUGAAAAAGUAUUUCCUAAUAUCCAACCUAAACUUCCCCCACUGCAACUUGAGACCAUUACUCCUUGUUCUGUCAUCUGCUACCACUGAGAACAGUCUAGAUCCAUCCUCUUUGGAACCCUCUUUCAGGUAGUUGAAAGCAGCUAUCAAAUCCUCCUUAAUUCUUCUCUUCUGCAAACUAAAUAAUCUCAGUUCCCUCAGCCUGUCCGCAUAAGUCAUAUGCCCCAGCCCCCUAAUCAUUUUUGUUGCCCUCUACUGGACUUCCCAAUUUUUCCACAUCCUUCUUGUAGCAUGGGGCCCAAAACUGGACACAGUACUCCAGAUGAGGCUCACUAAUGUUGA